AGUGAACGCUGGCGGUAGGCCUAACACAUGCAAGUCGAACGGCAGCACAGUAAGAGCUUGCUCUUACGGGUGGCGAGUGGCGGACGGGUGAGGAAUACAUCGGAAUCUACUUUUUCGUGGGGGAUAACGUAGGGAAACUUACGCUAAUACCGCAUACGACCUACGGGUGAAAGCAGGGGAUCUUCGGACCUUGCGCGAUUGCAUGAGCCGAUGUCGGAUUAGCUAGUUGGCGGGGUAAAGGCCCACCAAGGCGACGAUCCGCAGCGGGUGUGAGAGGAUGAUCAGCCACACUGGAACUGAGACACGGUCCAGACUCCUACGGGAGGCAGCAGUGGGGAAUAUUGGACGAUGGGCGCAAGCCUGAUCAAGCCAUACCGCGUGGGUGAAGAAGGCCUUCGGGUUGUAAAGCCCUUUUGUUGGGAAAGAAAAGCAGCAGGUUAAUCCCCCGCUGUUCUGACGGUACCUAAAGAAUAAGCACCGGCUAACUUCGUG
rnacentral:rRNA from 1 species